AUUGAACGCUAGCGGGAUGCUUUACACAUGCAGGUCGAACGGCAGCGCGGACUUCGGUCUGGCGGCGAGUGGCGAACGGGUGAGUAAUGUAUCGGAACGUGCCCAGUAGCGGGGGAUAACUACGCGAAAGCGUAGCUAAUACCGCAUACGCCCUACGGGGAAAGCAGGGGAUCGUAAGACCUUGCACUAUUGGAGCGGCCGAUAUCGGAUCAGCUAGUUGGUGAGGUAACGGCUCACCAAGGCGACGAUCCGUAGCUGGUUUGAGAGGACGACCAGCCACACUGGGACUGAGACACGGCCCAGACUCCUACGGGAGGCAGCAGUGGGGAAUUUUGGACAAUGGGGGCAACCCUGAUCCAGCCAUCCCGCGUGUGCGAUGAAGGCCUUCGGGUUGUAAAGCACUUUUGGCAGGAAAGAAACGUCGCGGGCUAAUACCCCGUGGAACUGACGGUACCUGCAGAAUAAGCACCGGCUAACUACGUG
rnacentral:rRNA from 1 species